rnacentral:rRNA from 1 species
AAACAAUAUUCAGACAUGUAAUUUCAAAAAAAUGUUCAUCAAGUAUUAAAAAUAUAUUCAACAUGUAUAAAUAAUAUUUUACGUGUGAUAUGAAAAAUAUACAACGUGCAUUGAGAAAAUUUGACAUGUAUUUGAUUUAUAUUUAAACAUAGAUAUGAAAUAGAAAAAAAAAACCACAGCACCAAAGGUUCUAAAACCGGUGCGAACUGGAUCAUAGAACAUAGCCUAUAGUAGUUUUCUUUUGUUUCAUUCUUCUUGACUUUAUUUUCUUUGGGAUUUUGUUUUUUUAUGUUUCUUUGUCGGGGUUUUUUCACGCAUGUUUUCCCUUUUCUCAGUACACAAUGAACAUUUUAGAGCGCACAUGAAACAUUUAUAAUACACUUUUGGAUUUUUUUUAAAUACAUGAUGUACAUUCUUUUUAAAUAUAUUAUAAAAUCCUCGUUAUACAUUUUUAAUGGCACUAAGAAUUCCCUUAACCUACAUGUUACACAUGAUGUACAUUUUUAGAAAUGCAUGCUUUCUGAACACAUUUUUGAAGACACGGCAACACUUUUGUAAAAUACAUGUUAUGCAUUUUUCAAUGGUUCUAAACAUUUAUUUGAACUACGGGAACAUUUUAAAAUUGGAAAAUAUUUUCUAAAAUGCCACGAAUAUUUUUUUAAUCGCCAAAAUUUUCUUUAAAAUUUCACUCCCAGGUUAUUAAAUGGUGCAAAAAAAAUUCUGGCAGUAUGCAAACAUUUUAUUUACAUUUACACACAAUAUUGUUUAACAAUGUCCGAAAACAGUUUUGAAACUCAUGAACAUUUUUCUAAAUUGUAACAUAUAUUUUUUGAAUCUAAGCAAGAUUUUCUUUGAAUUACGCAAGCAUUUAUGUAUAUUGUAUAAACAUUGUUUAAAAAGGCAUGUAAAAUAUUUUAAGCAUGUGACAUUUUUUGAAUCUCACAAACAUAUUUUUAAACAUGGUUAAUAUUUUUCUACACAUGUUUAUCAAUGUUCAAAUGGAUGUUCAACAUUUUUAUAAAUUUUAUCUAAAGCGUUAUUUGUAAUAUUUCUGAAUAAAAAUAAUAGUUAAGAAUAAAUGGAAAACGAAUCAAAAAGUGAAAACUUUGGAAGCAUCAGUGUGAGGUCAGCAGCCGGGUCACUGGGCCAGCCAAGCAGCGACUGCUUGCAGGCGACGCUGCGGGUGGCAUAUAGCACAUUGCGCGCGAGGCGCCCCCGUCUUUCUCCUUUGUUUUUUUUUCCUUUAUUCAUUCUGUUUUUGUUUUCCUUUUUUAAAAAAUUUCUGAUUUGAAAAAAUGUUGAUGAAAAAAUGUACCCACUUCCCAAAGAACUUGGAAACAAAUCUCAAACUUCCAAUAUCUGAAAUGCAAAAAAUUGGAUGUUUCAAAAAAUAUUUCAGAUUACAAAAAUGUUCAUGAAUUUGGAAACAAAUCUCAGACUCCCAAUAUCUGAAAUGCAAAAAAUAUGCACAAAUUUGGAAAAUGUUCCUGGAUAUUAAAAACGAUCAUGAAUUAUAAAAUUGAUCCCGUAUUUUAUAAAAUGUUCAAGGUUUGAAAGGUGUUGCUAGAUUUAAAAAAAUGUUGAUCAAUUUGAAAAUUAUACUUGGAUUUCAAGGAACAUUCACAAAUUUGAUGGAUCUUAUAUGAAUCAUAUGAUGUACUUUUGUUGCUUGCGUACUCAAAGGUGGGGAGGAUUAGGUGAGAAGUUAUUAUUGUGUAAGCUAGUGAUGAUCAGAUACAAUCACAUGUUCUAUUCUUUGUCUAUGACUAGGUAAUUGUCCAUGUGUUGCAACGGGAGCAUACGUAUAUCAAAUAGGAUCCUCAUGGCUUUGCUCACUUUUUUACCGUUAUAAACCACAACUUUACUUCUUCUCCCUCCCUGAAUCUCGGAGACAGUCCAGACAAUUCCAAACAACAAAGAGUUUUGAACAAAAACUUAUCAUCAAGGAAUAGUAUAUUAUGUCGCUAUAUAAUGCCUAAUAUUGGUGGCAUGACAUGUACUCUUCUAUCAUCUGAACAACUAGAUACAAAAUAAAUAAUUAAUCUUAUUGGCAUCACAUAUGUGCAAAUUUAUACAAUAGAAUAGCAUAACACCCUCAAGUAUUCGAUGUCUAGAGGGGAAACAAAAAGUAAGGUAUACAUUUUGUGAAAUAAGUUGUCUCAACUCCCAAGUGACAUUACAACCAUCAAAAGUUUUUGUAGAAUUUCAUUGUUAUUGCAACCAUCAAACGUGGCCACAGAAUAUUAAUAUGAGGGAGCAUAAAAUAAGCAUGGAAAAUGACUUGCGGCACUUUCAAAACAAAUAUUGAUGUUGGAUAAAGCAGAUGGAAGUAACCCGAAAUAACAAACAGAACAUAAUGUGCAAACAUACCUGAUCAUCGGGCUUUAAGAUUUUUGUAGCAGAACCAUCCAUGGUCCCGCGUGUUGCAAUGCAACACUGUUUGAAUGCUCCCUUGCACGGUGUUUCUCUCCACUGAUUUCAAAGAGACCGUGUUUGGGUUUAACGGUCUUUGUUGUUCCACAUGCAUAUAUCAAAUGGAGCAGCUCCUAAAUCAGACUCCACAACUCCGUAGCCAAAUGAAAUGCUCCUGUAGUGCAAAGAUGUCGAUGGUUGAACUGACGUAACCAGGUGGAGCGGCGAAUCUAUAGAUUUUAGUAGUAGAAACAGUAUAACCAUUUGAAGCGCUGGUUUGUUGCUGCUAGCCGAGAGAAAGAUGAAUAUGGGCCUUCGGUUUGACAUUCCAAGGAACUUUCAUGAACCUACAGAAGUGUAGUUAAUAGUACAAAUGUUAGAAGUUGAUUACAUGAGACUGAACGAUAUAUCUAAGAAGCCCAACAAAAGAAUGUGCUUACAAAUCUGCAAACUAAAACAAAUCACGUAUUCAAUUCUACAAACGUGUAAUAUGAAAAUAGAUCAUGUAUUCAUUAUAUACCUCGGCUAACUAAUGGUAAAGACGAGCACGAUUCUUAGUCACCCAAACCAGAAUAUGUAUGCAAUAGAAUCAGCAAAGAAUAAUUUUUCUAGUGGCACAGUUAAAGUUUAGAACUUCAACCAUAAGGUUAUCUAAAUGUCUAUGACCAUUGUAGAACAACAUAACAAUUUCUUGCUAGUGAAAAGGGGCCACUUUCAAUCUACAAAAUAAGAGGAAAUCGAGUUGACAUCUAAGUGAGAAACCUAGAAUGACCAGCGAGGGAGGAUGGCUGGCUGAUGGUGACGCGGCUCUUCUCCUGACGAAACAACGAUGACAUGUGUUUCUCCCGUCUAGGCAUGGAGCAUCCUCCCAGCGGAGAGCUCCUCCUCGGUGCAUUCAUGUCCUCAUCAGUGCACAACUGGUGCGCCACUGAGGCGGAUGGCAGCGAGCUCGCCCAUCGAACCCUAGGUCAGGGCGGGAGCGGUCGACGUGAUGACCCGCGAGUUGGGGAUUCGCAGGUGUGUCUGCGCACAACAACGAGGAGCACUAAAGGGGUCCGGAAUUGGCCUGGAGGUAGUUGUUGGGUGUCUCGCGCGGUGAAUCGUAGCAGCCCACAUCGGGUCGUCUUCCUCGUUGUCUCGCGCAGAUGGAAUUGGAAUUGAAACUUUGUUGCAAUUGGAAUUUCAUCCAACGGCUGAGGUCGAUCGCCGUGAAGAUCAAACGGUUCACAUCAAAUCGACCCGAGAUCAGACGGUCAGUAUCGCAUGGGAGUUUCGAUUGGACGGUCCAGAAUCCCUAAUCGCCGUGGGAGUCUCAUGGGAUGGAUAAUGGAAGUUUUGUUUUCAGCCCAGAAAGCUUGGCCCGUUCCACCAAAGCAGCAGCAGCUGGUGGCUGGGUCCCACCCUAUAUUUUCCUCAUCUCUUCGUCGGCCUCCCACUUUUUUCCAGCCGGCCGCCGUCGCCAUUGAUGCCCGCGCGCCGCCCCCAAAAUCCCCCGUCUACACAUAGAUCGGCGCCCAACGUUCAGACGUCCGUCCCCGAUCUCCCCGCGUCCGGCCAGAUCUGCUCGUGCCGGCCACCGCAGUGGCUUUAGCUUCCAGCCGGAUGCCGCGCGACCUGUCAAGGUCGCCGCCGCGCCGGCGCCGGCCGUCGCCGUCCCCGCUUCGCCGCGGACCGGGCUACAGGGAGCGCGUGCCCAGCCGCAGCAGGUCCCCUUAUCGCUCCUCCUAUAGAAGGAAGAGCCCUUCACCUUCCUCUCCCAGGAGGCGCAGGAGUCCAUCCCCAUCGAAAAUCCAUUACAAAAGAAAGAGAAGUCCGAGUGUCACUGGUUCUCCAGUUGCCAAAUCGAGUCCCCAUCUCGGAUCUACAGAGAAUAAGAAUGUCGUUGAUAAGCAAAGGCUAGAAGAAGAAAAGAAAAGGUGGGGAGUAUCUGCUUUGCUAUUUAGAAUCUAGACUAUGCCAUGUACAAACCAAAUUGUCUACUCUCUCUUUGCCAUACCUCUUUCACGAUGUUGACAAGCUAGUCAUUAACGAACAUUUCAUAGUGCUAUUGUACUGUAUUCAUCUAGCUGCUGUUUUCACCACGACACGAGGUCAGGUUCUAUUGGCUAACUGUGCUCUAAAUUAUACGCUCUUCUGAAUACAUGCACUGCAAUUUGCUCUAGUUUUUUUUUCUGAAUAUACAUGGUGCAACUCAAUCAUGUUUUUAUUGAACAGUAAUGAAUGCAAAUACUUUCAAAUAUGAAUGUUAAUUUGAUAAUUGUUUCUUAUCUGGGUUGCUUUGCUUAUGAAAUGAAGGCACAUCCAAAACUCGUUUUUGCUAGUACACUUAUCCCCCCCCCCCCUGGUAGAUAUAACGAUUGCGUAACCACCACACUGUGGGAGUGUCGAGCUGUCUCAAAAAAUCAAAACUGCCGCUUAACCGCUUUAGUUGGAAGCUAGUAGCUCCGAAAAAGUAAAAUAUGUUUAUGUUUGCAGUGUGCAUUGAACUAUGUUGAAUUAAUAACACUUAGUGGGAAAUGAAAUUAGUUGCCUACUUGUAAGCAUUCUACUAUCACCAGGCGUUCAUUUUCUGUCUUAUCUUGGUAAUUAGUAUGUGCUCUUGAUCAUAGUUUAUUUAGUCAGGUUACCUGAGGCUUACUUGCAGCUCUCAUGUUCUUAUGCUUAUUCAACUGAAAGUGCCAGAUAUAAUUUAGGAAGAGAAAUGUGUUAUUUGUGGUCGUAGCUACUUGCUCGGUUCCAAUUUUGUGGUGUUCCUUUCUUUUAGCUUAGUUUUGAUGUGUUUUUUGGCUUCAUGUAAAAUUCAGAGUAGCAGAAUUUGUUCUUGUUGCUCAAUAUAGAUUAAUGUUCUGGCUGUUGAAUAUGGAUUAAUUUGUUCACUGCACUGACAUGUAACCUAUUGACGGGAAUGAAACCCAAGUAGCAGAAUUUUAAAUAUGCACCAUUACCAUGGUGUUGUUCCAGUUUUUUUGUCUGUCACCUGUCAAUUGAAAAGCGUGCUAACGUCUUUUUGUUCCUUGCACUAACGAGUCACAAUAAGCAAUUGAAUUGGUAAAAAAGUUUAAUGCAUGAUUCGUUUGAUAUUCCCUCAGAUGCAUGCAGAAAUAUGAUUUAGUUGGAAUAUUGAGAUGCUUACAUGAUUAGCUCUAAAUCUGCCACAAGUUACUCUUGACAUUCUUCUCUACAGGCUUUUCUGAAGGAAGAUACUGCUAUAGUUCCACUUGUUAUAUUUGAUGAUGCAAUUGGUGAUCCUUUAUCUACUCUUGACCAGUUUUGCUAAUUCAUUUUUUGGAUCUGGAAUCAUAAUAGAGGUAUGCCUAAAAUGCAUUAGUCUGUAUUCAACACUAUGCUGAUGAGAGGUAUAGUCGAUGAUAGAUAGUGUUAAAGAUUCUAAAUCCGCCCCUUGCUUUUGUGCCCUUAGAUAUUUGAUUUGAGUGUUGGCAUCUGUCAAUAUUUUCUUUUGCAAAGUACACCUCAUUAACUUUUUCUCACAAUUGCAGGCGUCAAAAAGAAGUUGAACUAAGGCUAUUAGAGGAGGAAACUACAAAAAGAGUUGAGCAAGCUAUUAGGAAACAAGUUGAGGAUAGUUUGAAUUCUGAGGAAAUCAAACAUGAAAUACAGCGUCGAAUUGAUGAAGGGCGAAAAAGGAUACAUGAGGAGGUAGUUGCCCAAAUUGAGAAAGAGAAGGUGUCUGCCUUGGUUGAAGCCCAACGGAGAGCGGAACGUGAGAAGAAAGAGCGAGAAGAGCUAGAGAAGAAGCUCGAAGAGGAGCGAAACAAAGCAGAGGAGGCUCAGAUGAAGGUAGCCAUGGAGCAGCAGCAGAAAGAGCUGGAGCGGUACCAGGAGCUGGAGAGGCUUCAGAAGGAGAGGGAGGAAGCCAUGAAGCAGAAGCAAAUGGAGGAGCAGCAGCAGAAGCAGAACCAGAUUAAGCUGCUGGGCAAGAACAAGUCGCGACCAAAGCUGUCGUUCUCUUUUGGGAUGAAGUAGAUCAGUCUAUUGCCAGGGGAGGGGAAAUUAGCGCCGUAGUUUGCAUUUGUAACCAUUUGUCUGAAACCGAUGAUUGCUGGUAAGUCAGUCGCGCGAACAAUCGUGUUGUGUUAAAAGCUGUUUUUAUCAUCUGCUGUUGUAAGCUCGAUGCUAUUUUCCGACUGCCCUGUUUUCGUGCUGUGUUAUCUUGCCGCUCCGACGCAAGAUGUUGAUUGGUUGUUGUGAAAAAACAUCCUGUCUAAAUAUGAAAAUGUUGGUAGAGCAGAGGAGGCUGGGCAGUGGGCAUGAACUAGGGCUGUAGUAGUGUGUGGAAAUCCAACAAGCAUGUACGAUGUACGUACUCGGAGGGCACUAAGGGGAUUCUAGGUUCACCUUGUUUAUCACCUCCUUGUGAUGAAUCAUAGCUAAGAAAUGAAG